GGGUUGUGAGGUUAAGCGACUAAGCGUACACGGUGGAUGCCUAGGCAAUCAGAGGCGAUGAAGGACGUGCUAAUCUGCGAUAAGCGUCGGUAAGGUGAUAUGAACCGUUACAACCGACGAUUUCCGAAUGGGGAAACCCAGUGCAAUUCGUUGCACUAUCGUUUGAUGAAUACAUAGUCAAACGAAGCGAACCGGGGGAACUGAAACAUCUCAGUACCCCGAGGAAAAGAAAUCAACCGAGAUUCCCCUAGUAGCGGCGAGCGAACGGGGAGCAGCCCAGAGUCUUAAUCAGCAUUAGCAUCAGGAGAACGGUCUGGAAAGUCCGGCAGUAAAGGGUGAUAGCCCCGUAUCCGAAGGUGUUAGUGUUGUGAACUCGACGAGUAGGGCGGGACACGUGUUAUCCUGUCUGAAUAUGGGGGGACCAUCCUCCAAGGCUAAAUACUCCUGAUUGACCGAUAGUGAACCAGUACCGUGAGGGAAAGGCGAAAAGAACCCCGGCGAGGGGAGUGAAAUAGAACCUGAAACCGUGUACGUACAAGCAGUGGGAGCACCUUUAGGGUGUGACUGCGUACCUUUUGUAUAAUGGGUCAGCGACUUAUAUUCUGUAGCAAGGUUAACCGUAUAGGGGAGCCGUAGGGAAACCGAGUCUUAACUGGGCGAAUAAGUUGCAGGGUAUAGACCCGAAACCCGGUGAUCUAGCCAUGGGCAGGUUGAAGGUUGGGUAACACUAACUGGAGGACCGAACCGACUAAUGUUGAAAAAUUAGCGGAUGACUUGUGGCUGGGGGUGAAAGGCCAAUCAAACCGGGAGAUAGCUGGUUCUCCCCGAAAGCUAUUUAGGUAGCGCCUCGUGAACUCAUCUUCGGGGGUAGAGCACUGUUUCGACUAGGGGGUCAUCCCGACUUACCAACUCGAUGCAAACUACGAAUACCGAAGAAUGUUAUCACGGGAGACACACGGCGGGUGCUAACGUUCGUCGUGAAGAGGGAAACAACCCAGACCGCCAGCUAAGGUCCCAAAGUCAUAGUUAAGUGGGAAACGAAGUGGGAAGGCUCAGACAGCCAGGAUGUUGGCUUAGAAGCAGCCAUCAUUUAAAGAAAGCGUAAUAGCUCACUGGUCGAGUCGGCCUGCGCGGAAGAUGUAACGGGGCUAAACUAUGCACCGAAGCUGCGGCAGCGAUAUUUAGAUAUUGUUGGGUAGGGGAGCGUUCUGUAAGCCUGUGAAGGUGUGCUGUGAGGCAUGCUGGAGGUAUCAGAAGUGCGAAUGCUGACAUAAGUAACGAUAAUGCGGGUGAAAAACCCGCACGCCGGAAGACCAAGGGUUCCUGUCCAACGUUAAUCGGGGCAGGGUGAGUCGACCCCUAAGGCGAGGCAGAAAUGCGUAGUCGAUGGGAAACGGGUUAAUAUUCCCGUACUGGUGAUAAUUGCGAUGGGGGGACGGAGAAGGCUAGGCUAUCCGGGCGACGGUUGUCCCGGUUUAAGGAUGUAGGCAGGUGAAUUAGGCAAAUCCGGUUCACUACAUGCUGAGGUCCGAUGACGAGUCACUACGGUGAUGAAGUAGCUCAUGCCCCGCUUCCAGGAAAAGCCUCUAAGCUCUAGAUUAUCAUUAAUCGUACCCCAAACCGACACAGGUGGUCAGGUAGAGAAUACUCAGGCGCUUGAGAGAACUCGGGUGAAGGAACUAGGCAAAAUGGUGCCGUAACUUCGGGAGAAGGCACGCUGGCAUUAGGUGAAGUGAUUUACUCAUGGAGCUGAAGCCAGUCGCAGAUACCAGCUGGCUGCAACUGUUUAUUAAAAACACAGCACUGUGCAAACACGAAAGUGGACGUAUACGGUGUGACGCCUGCCCGGUGCUGGAAGGUUAAUUGAUGGGGUUAUCCGUAAGGAGAAGCUCUUGAUCGAAGCCCCAGUAAACGGCGGCCGUAACUAUAACGGUCCUAAGGUAGCGAAAUUCCUUGUCGGGUAAGUUCCGACCUGCACGAAUGGCGUAAUGAUGGCCAGGCUGUCUCCACCCGAGACUCAGUGAAAUUGAACUCGCUGUGAAGAUGCAGUGUACCCGCGGCAAGACGGAAAGACCCCGUGAACCUUUACUAUAGCUUGACACUGAACAUUGAGCCUUGAUGUGUAGGAUAGGUGGGAGGCUUUGAAGUGUGGACGCCAGUCUGCAUGGAGCCAACCUUGAAAUACCACCCUUUAAUGUUUGAUGUUCUAACGUUGCCCCGUUAUCCGGGGUGCGGACAGUGUCUGGUGGGUAGUUUGACUGGGGCGGUCUCCUCCCAAAGAGUAACGGAGGAGCACGAAGGUUGGCUAAGCAUGGUCGGACAUCAUGCGGUUAGUGCAAAGGCAUAAGCCAGCUUGACUGCGAGAGUGACGGCUCGAGCAGGUACGAAAGUAGGUCUUAGUGAUCCGGUGGUUCUGAAUGGAAGGGCCAUCGCUCAACGGAUAAAAGGUACUCCGGGGAUAACAGGCUGAUACCGCCCAAGAGUUCAUAUCGACGGCGGUGUUUGGCACCUCGAUGUCGGCUCAUCACAUCCUGGGGCUGAAGUAGGUCCCAAGGGUACGGCUGUUCGCCGUUUAAAGUGGUACGCGAGCUGGGUUUAGAACGUCGUGAGACAGUUCGGUCCCUAUCUGCCGUGGGCGUUGGAAGAUUGAAAGGGGCUGCUCCUAGUACGAGAGGACCGGAGUGGACGCACCACUGGUGUUCGGGUUGUCAUGCCAAUGGCAUUGCCCGGUAGCUAAGUGCGGAAGAGAUAACCGCUGAAAGCAUCUAAGCGGGAAACUUGCCUUGAGAUGAGUCUUCCCUGACUCUUUAAGAGUCCUAAAGGAACGUUUAAGACUAAGACGUUGAUAGGUUGGGUGUGUAAGCGUAGCGAUACGUUGAGCUAACCAAUACUAAUGAACCGUGAGGCUUAACCUGACAACACCGAAGGUGUUUUAG
rnacentral:rRNA from 1 species